AUUGAACGCUGGCGGCAUGCCUUACACAUGCAAGUCGAACGGUAACAGGUCUUCGGAUGCUGACGAGUGGCGAACGGGUGAGUAAUACAUCGGAACGUGCCCGAUCGUGAGGGAUAACGAAGCGAAAGCUUUGCUAAUACCGCAUACGAUCUACGGAUGAAAGCAGGGGACCGCAAGGCCUUGCGCGAACGGAGCGGCCGAUGGCAGAUUAGGUAGUUGGUGGGAUAAAAGCUUACCAAGCCGACGAUCUGUAGCUGGUCUGAGAGGACGACCAGCCACACUGGGACUGAGACACGGCCCAGACUCCUACGGGAGGCAGCAGUGGGGAAUUUUGGACAAUGGGCGAAAGCCUGAUCCAGCCAUGCCGCGUGCAGGAUGAAGGCCUUCGGGUUGUAAAGCUCUGUUGUACAUGACGAAUGUGCCGGUUGUGAAUAAUGGCUGGUAAUGACGGUAGUGUACGAGGAAGCCACGGCUAACUACGUGCCAGCCGCCGCGGUAACAC
rnacentral:rRNA from 1 species